GGUGCUCCCGAGGCAUCGUGCUGGCCGGGCCGUCUCCGCCCUAGACUCCCAGUCUCCAGCACCGGGCUCGUCCCCGUCACCCCGCGACAGCAAGGGGAAGGUGCGGGCGGGAAACUGCCCGCCUUCACGUUCUUGUCAGCACUUUCCACAGGGAGGCUAACCCGCUUCCCGCCCUUCCGCCGAGCCGGCUCCCCGCUGGGCAGCCCCGGUCGGUGUUAGCAUACCCGCAGGGCCCGGCCGGGAGGAGAGGCAGCGCUGUCUCCCGGUGGCGAAUCUGCGGCGGAGAACAAGCAGGCGGGGGGGCCGCCGGGGGACGCCAUUGGCGCCUCGCGCCCACUGCCGUUUGGCGCCUUUUUCCUCUCAGAGGGAGCGCGCGGCGGCGCCCUGAGGCGCUCUGGUCCCCGGGCUGCUCGGGGGGCGUCUGGAAAAACGCUGCAGUGUAGUGCCCGAGCCCAAAUAAAUCCCCAAAAGGCAGGCGAUAAAGUCAGGUGAACAGUCCUGGCAGUGCUGGGGAGCCCUUUGGCUGCGUAGCGUGCGCAGUGCCGAAACGAUGGUUUGGGAAUGGCAUCUCUUCGAAAAGAGGAGUGGGAGCAGGAUGUGGACCUCAGUCUGGUUGUGCUUACCGUGCUGUGAGGAAAGUGGGGAAGACGCCGGUGUAAGGGUGUGCACAGAAGAAGGCCCAGAGGAAGCAGGUCAGCCUGCAGAGGGGUGUGAAGGAAGGCUGGUUGUAUGGGCUGCACGGAAGACCCUGGGUUACAAAUCUGUGUAGGUUAUAAUUUUGAACCAAAUUAGACUGACCAACUCAAACACUUAGUUGCUGAAUCACAGAGGACUAUGAAUUGGAGAGUAGACUGGGAGCAGUGGAAUUAUCCAGAAAAAUUUAUUGCAGAAAAUUGUGAAGAUAUCACACACGGAGGUAAAAAGCUGGCAAAUAUAAACCACGGUACACCGUGUGGCUCUGAGUGUCUGAGAAAGAUGAAGAAUUUCAGACCUAAGCAUUCAGCGUAGGAGUCUUUUGUAUAGUGAAAAUUGUUAAAAGUCACUGAAUUCAGUAUGAAAACUUAAAGUUUGGCAUUGAAAUGCUGUCAUAUGGCUAAUAAGAUAAAUUUCUAGACAUCCAUCCAUCCAUGGUGGAUCUGGUGAAUGUGGCAGCUGAAGGAAAGCCAAACAGAUGACACCUACCUAACCCAAAAGAACGGUAGAAGGUGAAAAGAAGAAAAACUGAGUAUGAUACCGGGUUGUUGCAAGUUAGGUCCAUUUCUUCUUGAUGCCUACACUUUGUCUAGCCCAGUUUGCUUUCGUUCUUAAAUAAGAAUAUGAACAAGUAAAGAUACAAGAACUCUGCCCUCAUCUGCUUACAGUGUGCUAUCUGUGGCCACAAUAGAAAUUUGUUGACAUGCAGCAGAAUGAUAUGUGACUUCAAUUUCAUAAUUAAAAGAAAGUAAGAAUUGAAAAGAUUCCUCAGUCAGCCAGCCAAAUACGCCUUUUUAGUCUACCAGUUUCACCUGGGCAGAGUAUUUUUAAAGAAAAGGUGUAAAGGGAACAUCCGGCUACAAGAUCCCUGAAGGCUAAAGCUGCUGCCCUUUGGCUCAACAAGGAUUUUUGCCUGCUCAAGAGACCUUUUUCCUUUCAGAAAUUACUCACUUGGUUUUGAAGUCAUCAGCAGCCAGCCUGGCAUUGUCAAUCUGCAAGACGAUCUUCGAGUUGUCAAUAGUGGCAUCAAGGAUCUACAAACAAUGAGAGUUCAUUGCUGAGGCUGAAACAACUAUGUUAUCUUCUUUCCCGAUCUGAAGAUAAAAGAGUUAAGAUUCUAUUUCAUCUCUACCUACACCACAUAGAAAUGUAUUUUAUUUGGUCUCAGUAGGAAAGUAUCAAUGAUCUAUAGCAAAUAUGUAGCACAGAUUUAUCACAGUACUUUUGCCAUCAUUGUCCAUUAUGGAUAGGUCCUCUUACUCUUGUCUGGCAUAUGAAGUGGCUUUUAGCUAGAAGUCCCACAGUGAGACAAAACUGCAUGCUGUCUUAGAGGGAGAGGACUUUGGUGAGCCAGGGAGUAGGUGAUGUUUUAGGACGGAGGCAAGAAACUUAUUUCCUGGAGAGAUGCAAAGGAAGCAAAGUCUGCAGACCCCUCUUGGCAGAAUUUGUUCUCAUUACACAUUUCCUUAACAGUAGGAAGUGAUUACAAGGUCUGUAUGAUUUUAAAAUAAAUGACAUGUUUGUGUUUCGUAAACAAUAUGGGUUCAUAUUGCAUUUGUGUAGUCUUUGAACACAUUUUUAUUUCCUGGAGUAUCCAGGAUAGUGUUUAUUGAUUCUUCUAAUGCUUCAUGAAAGCCUGUAAAGGAAAUUUUGUUUAUUUAGAAGUGAUGCCUGUUAAUUUUUAUCUAGAAAACAUGUCUUUUUUGCCUGCCACUUUUAAAACUCAAAAGGUCAUCCACAAAACCAGCUGGAACAACGUUUUCUCUCCCCUAACUAAGGGGAGUAAAAGACAGGAGGGAAAAGAAUACUAAAAGGAUAAAAUAUAAUUGCCAUUUCUGCCUUUACUGGAGCUCAGUUUUUGAAAUCAGGAGGGAAUGUGAAUGGGUUGAAGCAAAGAGAAAGUAAACUGCGUGGGAGCGGUCAUGAACUCCAAGCUGAACUGUGAAAACUAAACCUCAAGUUUUCUUUCAUUUAUUUACAUAGUUUAAUCAGCUACUACCUAUGUUUUCCGGGGUGUGUAUCAUCUCAAAGUAAUCUGUUAUCAGGUACCCAUGGGCUAUUGGGGCAAAUCCUGCAUUUAUGUAUGGGAUUUAUUACUUCAUGUCUGCUACUUCCUUUUUCCAUAAGCCAAAUCUUUCAGCACUCUUAUUUCAAUCCCAAGCUUAAGUAAGUGAAAUGUGAAAGAAAAAUAAAUGUAUGGUGAUGAAAUCUUGAGCUGCUAUUUUCACAUUUACAAAAUUGUACUUAACCAAUUCUUAUUUUUACUGUUAAAGCAGUGUGUAUGUGCUUCUGAAGCUUU